GCCCCCCCUCCCACUCCGCCCCCCCCCCGCCUUCGAUGCUCCCCGCCGCACGUCCGUCUUCCUGGCAGUCAGGUGACAGACCGGGUUCCCGGGUCCCCCACCCCCGCUGCUCCCAGGUUGUCCUAAGCGGUGUGUCCGUCGCCGUUCCACUGCCUGGGAGUCUUUCCAGAGAAGGUGCUCGGGAUAGAAAAGCAGUAUCUAUGAUUUCCAGCCUCUUGAUUUCCAGUCUCACUUGGACUUAA
rnacentral:lncRNA from 1 species